UACGUAGGGGGCAAGCGUUGUCCGGAUUUAUUGGGCGUAAAGAGCGUGUAGGCGGCUGGGUAGGUCCGUUGUGAAAACUCGAGGCUCAACCUCGAGACGCCGAUGGAAACCCUCCAGCUAGAGUCCGGAAGAGGAGAGUGGAAUUCCUGGUGUAGCGGUGAAAUGCGCAGAUAUCAGGAAGAACACCCGUGGCUAAGGCGGCUCUCUAGUACGGUACUGACGCUGAGACGCGAAAGCGUGGGAGCGAACAGG
rnacentral:rRNA from 1 species